UGCCAAAUUUUCCUUAUGAUGUGCAAUCGAGUUUAUUUUAUUUUAUUUUAUUGUUGACUAAUAUAAUAACAACAAUUCAUUUUAAUGAACGAAUUGAUGAAUUCAAGUGAGAUGCAAACAACGGAUUAACACCAUAUGUAGCAAAUGCUAAUUAUGCAAAACAAGGAUGGAAGCAAAAAAACUUAAAGAUAAUAGAUUUACUAGGAGCCUAAGCUAUGACACCAAAUUAUGCGAAACUCAAGACCAACAUUGUGAUAAAAAAAUCCCAUAUAUAACAUCAACAUGUAAAAAUCUUAAAUUCCGACUUGACCCAAACUCAACUUGUGAAAGCACACCAAGGUAACU
rnacentral:lncRNA from 1 species